rnacentral:rRNA from 1 species
CGGCAAACGGGUGAGUAACACGUAAGUAAUCUACCUCCAAAUCCGGGAUAACCUUGCUAACGCGGGGCUAAUACCGGAUGUGGUCCCAUGGUUCAUGAUUGUGGGAUUAAAGAUGACCUCUAUUUAUAAGUUAUCGCUUGGAGAUGAGCUUGCGGCCCAUUAGCUAGUUGGCGGGGUAAUAGCCCACCAAGGCUGUGAUGGGUAGCCGGCCUGAGAGGGUGUACGGCCACAUUGGGACUGAGAAACGGCCCAGACUCCUUCGGGAGGCAGCAGUAGGGAAUUUUGCGCAAUGGACGAAAGUCUGACGCAGCAACGCCGCGUGAGUGAUGAAGGUCUUCGGAUUGUAAGACUCUGUUGAGUGGGAAGAAAAGUUACAGGUCUAAUAUAUCUGUAGCCUGACGGUACCAUUCGAGGAAGCCCCGGCUAACUACGUGCCAGCAGCCGCGGUAAUACGUAGGGGGCAAGCGUUGUUCGGAAUUACUGGGCGUAAAGGGAGCGUAGGCGGGUCAGUAAGUUAGAAGUUUAAUGCACAGGCUUAACCUGUGACUUGCUUUUAAUACUGCUAAUCUUGAGUAUGGAAGAGGGAGAUGGAAUUCCAGGUGUAGCGGUGGAAUGCGUAGAUAUCUGGAAGAACACCAUUAGCGAAGGCGGUCUCCUGGUCCAAUACUGACGCUGAGGCUCGAAAGCUAGGGGAGCAAACAGGAUUAGAUACCCUGGUAGUCCUAGCUGUAAACUAUGGAUACUAGAUGUUGGGGGAGUCAAUCUUUCCAGCGUCGUCGCUAACGCAUUAAGUAUCCCGCCUGGGAAGUACGCCCGCAAGGGUGAAACUCAAGGAAUUGACGGGGGCCCGCACAAGCGGUGGAGCAUGUGCUUUAAUUCG